ACACGUACGGCUAAUGAUAUAUAGCCCUUGUACGAUAUGAGGACCGAAGCAAGAAUUACCGUCUUUCGUCAUGAUUGAUUCGAUCAAGUUUGUGCUGGUAUAAGUAUUAUGUAAUGUUUCCGUUUUCGCUGCGGCGUGAAAAAAGAAAAAAAGAAAAAAACCUAACUUCCACGGAUUCUGCGCAGUCAUGGCAUCACUGCGGCAAUCGAGUCGACAUUGAGCAAAGACCAAAUAUGACGAUGCAGACUCAAACGGUUGCAAGGGCGAAGGCGAAUCGAGUGACCUCGGCUGUGCCAAGCGGUAGCGCGCGACAACUUUGCACGCGAGUAAUCUGCGCAGUCUACGCUAUGCGCUCUAUAGUUGCCCUGGUGGUGCGUGUUGCAUGGACCUUCCGAAUUAAAGCAAGCUGGCGGUUUACUGUGACAUCCACCUCACUGUGUUGUGCCGGCAUACAAAGCCAGUCACAAGGCGACUUCGAGCAGCGCAGACCCAUGUGACUGACUACCUGUGCUGCAGCAUGAAAAAAAUCCUUCCACGGAUUCUGUACAGUCAUGGCAUCACUGCCUCAACGGACUCGACCCUGAGCAAAGGCCAGUGAGGACACAAGCGCAUGGCGGCAUCAGCGAUGGAUGGCUGACCGAGUGGCAUCGGCUGUGGCGAUCAGUUGCGUGCAGUGAGGUGAAACAAGCAGCCUUGCGCUUCUUGUCCCGGGCGGCGUACUUUGACAUCCACCUCCUGCGGAGCCGACGGUUCGCACAAGCGGAAAACGGACUCGACGUGCAGCGAAACACGCUCCAGGGAAAUGUGCCGCUGCCAUCGGCUGUUUCGGAGUAGGCGAAUCGAGUGGCCUUGGGCUGUGGCAAGCAGUUGCGUGCAACAACCGACUUCGCGGGUUAUCAGCGCAGUCUGUGCCAUCCGCCGUUGGUCGUCCUGGCGGUCUACUGUGGCAUCCACCUCCACUGCCAGGACGCGCAGCCAAUCACGAAUCGGCUUUCAGCAAGGCAACUCGCUUUCACCGACAAGAAUAAUGCGACCUAUUGUUUCGUCUUCGUCAAGUACCAUCGCCGUCGGCCUGGACCGCAGCGUAGACCCGUGCGACGACCUGUACGAGCAGCGGUCUACUGUAGCAUCCACCUUGGUGGUCCCUGCGCGCAGCCCUGGAACCGGGUCGUCGUUGAGCAAAGCGGCUCACAAUAGUGAACUCGGACGACCUCCUACUCGCCGGCGUUGCGGCCUACUGCGGCAUCCACCUUGGUGGUCGCUGCACGCAGCCCUGGAAUCGGGCCGACGUCGAGCAAAGCAGCUCAGUAGUGCGCUCGGACGACCUCCUACUCGCCGGCGUUGAAUGUGCUUCGAUGACGGCGGACUCCUGGUGCAUCAGCUGUGUGAAUCAGUUGCGUGCGUGUCGCCGGCAUGUGCUCGUUGGUGGCUCCAUCCGGUCACCGAGGCUGUCUACUGUGGCAUCCACCUUUGUGGUCGGCCUCUCCGCAUCUCUGGAAAAACAUGGGAAUACCGAGUCGACAUUAAGCAAAGAAGCUCAGCGCAGCUUUGGAAAAUCUUGGAGAAACCGAGCCGGCAUUGAGCAAAUAAAAGUUCAGCGCCGCCUUGGAAAUGCUUGAGGAAACCGAGCGCCGCAUUGGAACCGAUCCGACACUGAGCAAAGAAAAGUUCAGCGCCGCCUUUGAAAAGCUUGGAGGAACUGAGCCGACAUUGAGCAAAGAAGUUAAAAUGAUCGGACUGCGCCCCUAACGUCGGAGGGCUUUACUCUCGGUGCGACCAUCCGACCGACUGUUUCGUCUACGUCAUGGAGCAGGUCGCCAGCCUGGGCCGAAGCGUCGACCCUUGCGACGACCUGUACGACCACCGCUUUCCGGCGGCGCACCGUCAAUGAGCACCCGGUGCUCCAUCUUGAAGCAGCCGAAUCGACGUUGAGCAAAGGCGGGAGCAGAAAUUUGGACAGGAGCAACGCAGCAUAACAAUGCGGUCUACUGUGGCAUCCAGUCAUUACUGCGUGGCCGGUCGUGGUCCUGUUGAAGCAGCCGUGUCGACGCUGAGCAGAGACGGCCGGAGCAGGAAUUUGGUCACCGGAAGGAGCAAUGCAGCAUAACGGUGAGAACUUGGUCUACCGUAGCAUCCGGUCGUGGUCCUCUCGAAACAGGAGCCCAGCAUGGACGUUGGACACGGCCGUAGCAGAAACGCCAUCUGAAGGAGCAAUGCAGCAUAACAAUGCGGUCUACAAGCACCCGGUCGUGGUCCUCUUGGGGACAUCUGGAGGAGCAACACAGGAAAACAACGGAGAUUGUAGACACUAAAGAGGCCGGGCGGUCGUCCCCCUGACGGCACAGCCGUCACGCGCCGCUUGGGAGAGGGCAGCAGCGGCGAAGACCGGACGUACGCUACCCAGCAACUUCCGACGACGUACUGACAACUUCGUAGACGGAGAAUGACGAGCACGGAGGAUGAUACGGACGAGAACUGAAACAACCAACAUACAACCAACAUGACCGCAUCCAAUGUCAUUGGACGGCAACGGAAAUGGACACUGCUGGUGACCUCUGCACAGCUGCGCGAGCAAUCCCUCUGACAUAUUGUUUUUCUAAUGUACUAUCGUCAGCAAAUAAUUAUUAGUAAACAAAUUAUUUCCGCAUUGUACCGUUACGCUAUCCUUAAGCGUAAAUGCGCGUAGGGACCAAAUUUUGUACAUGGCAUAGGAAAUAAGUGUACCGCUUGCGGCGGCCCC
rnacentral:lncRNA from 1 species